rnacentral:pre_miRNA from 1 species
CAUCUACUCCCUCCGUUCGGAAUUACUUGUCGUAGAAAUGAAUGUAUCUAGACGUAUUUUAGUUUUGGAUACAACCAUUUCUGAGGCAAGUAAUUCCGAACGGAGAAAGUAGUAG